rnacentral:lncRNA from 1 species
GGCGUCUUGUGCUUACAUGCUAGAGAGAUAGAUAUAGAGCAAUGACAAGCUUUGAAAGAACAGAAUCCCAAAACAAAUUAUCUACCAUAAAUACUUGCCUGAUUUGGAAGCUCCAUCAGUCUCUGCAAAUAAUCUGAUAUUCAUCCUUCGUACAGUUUUUUGCUCAACUUGAUUAGCACAACUGAUUACCAACCCUUCGUACAGUUUGUGCGAAGUACCAUCUCCGAUAAUUUUUUUACAAAUUAUACUAAUGUAAGGAUUCU